GGAGGCUCGGCAGGGGGCUGGGCUGCUGGGGGUGGCCACGCUGCUGAGGGUGGCCACAGACCCGUGGGCCCGGCUGGGGGCGGCCACAGACCCGUGGGCCCGGCUGGGGGCGGCCACAGACCCUCUGGGCCUGGCUCUUUUUCCUGUCCUUUGGCUCUUCAUACCUUCCCCCAUCUUCUCUGUUUCUGUCUCUCCUUGUCUCUCUAUCUCUGUCAUCUCUGUCUGGAUUGUGGGUUCAGAUCCUUGCUCUGUGAGGCGAGGCAGAGACCUUCCUUCUGGAACUCAGACCCGAGUCUGUAAAAUAAGGGAGAUGGAUUUCUUACCCUCCUCAGUGCCAGCUCCUGUGAUGGUAGGAAGGCAGAGGAGGGAGGCCAUGGAGAAGGGGCAGGAAGGAUGGAGAUCCCUGAGACCUUCGAGACAACGUGAGGGCCUUCCCAAGGGGGAGGAGGAGGCUCCUCAGGAAGAAGCUGCUCUGGUCACGAGGGUCCUAGAUCACGUAGGCUCAAAGCAAGCCAGAGAAAUAAGCCAGAAGAGUCCUCAGGGACCACUGAACUCAUCUUACAGAUGGGGAAACUGAGGGCGAGAGAGAGCUUGCCAUCUCAGAGUAGGAGCCAAGAAGGGACUUUGAAAUUCAAAAUGAGAGCCAGUUGUCUUGUGGCAGACACUCCCACCCCUGCAGCUGCUCCAGGGAUGACACAGGCCUUUGUUCCAGUUCCACAUCCUCCUUUUCCUUCUCGCCUCAAAUAGAUCCAACAUACACCAGAAGGAGGCAGGUCCCAUGAAAGACAAAAAAAAAAAAAAUAAUAAUCCCAGAAGGAGGCAGAUCCCAUGAAAAUAAAAAAAAAUAAUCCCAGAAGGAGGCAGGUCCCAUGAAAGUAAAAAAAAAUAAUCCCAGAAGGAGGCAGGUCCCAUGAAAGUAAAAAAAAAUAAUCCCCGAAGGAGGCAGGUCCCAUGAAAAUAAAAAAAAUAAUCCCAGAAGGAGGCAGGUCUCAUGAAAAUCAAAAUAAUAAUCCUAGAAGGAGGCAGAUCCCAUGAAAGUAAAAAAAAAAAAAAUCCUAGAAAGAGGCAGGUCCCAUGAAAGUAAAAAAAAAAAUAAUCCCAGAAGGAGGCAGGUCCCAUGAAAAUCAAAAAAAUAAUCCCAGAAGGAGGCAGGUCCCAUGAAAAUCAAAAUAAUAAUCCUUGAAGGAGGCAGGUCCCAUGAAAGUAAAAAAAAAAAUCCCAGAAAGAGGCAGGUCCCAUGAAAGUAA